UGGGAGCACAGAGCAAUCUGUGUGACUGCGUACCUUUUGUAUAAUGGGUCAGCGACUUAUAUUCUGUAGCAAGGUUAACCGAAUAGGGGAGCCGAAGGGAAACCGAGUCUUAACUGGGCGUUAAGUUGCAGGGUAUAGACCCGAAACCCGGUGAUCUAGCCAUGGGCAGGUUGAAGGUUGGGUAACACUAACUGGAGGACCGAACCGACUAAUGUUGAAAAAUUAGCGGAUGACUUGUGGCUGGGGGUGAAAGGCCAAUCAAACCGGGAGAUAGCUGGUUCUCCCCGAAAGCUAUUUAGGUAGCGCCUCGUGAAUUCAUCUCCGGGGGUAGAGCACUGUUUCGGCAAGGGGGUCAUCCCGACUUACCAACCCGAUGCAAACUGCGAAUACCGGAGAAUGUUAUCACGGGAGACACACGGCGGGUGCUAACGUCCGUCGUGAAGAGGGAAACAACCCAGACCGCCAGCUAAGGUCCCAAAGUCAUGGUUAAGUGGGAAACGAUGUGGGAAGGCCCAGACAGCCAGGAUGUUGGCUUAGAAGCAGCCAUCAUUUAAAGAAAGCGUAAUAGCUCACUGGUCGAGUCGGCCUGCGCGGAAGAUGUAACGGGGCUAAACCAUGCACCGAAGCUGCGGCAGCGACACUGUGUGUUGUUGGGUAGGGGAGCGUUCUGUAAGCCUGUGAAGGUGUGCUGUGAGGUAUGCUGGAGGUAUCAGAAGUGCGAAUGCUGACAUAAGUAACGAUAAAGCGGGUGAAAAGCCCGCUCGCCGGAAGACCAAGGGUUCCUGUCCAACGUUAAUCGGGGCAGGGUGAGUCGACCCCUAAGGCGAGGCCGAAAGGCGUAGUCGAUGGGAAACAGGUUAAUAUUCCUGUACUUGGUGUUACUGCGAAGGGGGGACGGAGAAGGCUAUGUUGGCCGGGCGACGGUUGUCCCGGUUUAAGCGUGUAGGCUGGUUUUCCAGGCAAAUCCGGAAAAUCAAGGCUGAGGCGUGAUGACGAGGCACUACGGUGCUGAAGCAACAAAUGCCCUGCUUCCAGGAAAAGCCUCUAAGCAUCAGGUAACAUCAAAUCGUACCCCAAACCGACACAGGUGGUCAGGUAGAGAAUACCAAGGCGCUUGAGAGAACUCGGGUGAAGGAACUAGGCAAAAUGGUGCCGUAACUUCGGGAGAAGGCACGCUGAUAUGUAGGUGAAGUCCCUCGCGGAUGGAGCUGAAAUCAGUCGAAGAUACCAGCUGGCUGCAACUGUUUAUUAAAAACACAGCACUGUGCAAACACGAAAGUGGACGUAUACGGUGUGACGCCUGCCCGGUGC
rnacentral:rRNA from 1 species